UUCACAUGGUCUUUCCUCUGUGCGUGCGCAUCUCUGGUGUCCCUCUCCAUGUCCUAAUCUCUUCUCAAAAGGACACCAGUCAUACCUCACUUUACCUUCGUCACCUCACCUUAUCUCCAAGUACAGUCACAUUCUCAGGUCCUGGGAAUGAGGAUUUCAGCAUGUAAAUUUUGCGGAGACACAAGUCAGCUCCUAACAAUCUCAGGGUGGCCUUGGAGUAGAAGGGAAAUGUUCAGUUGUCUAGCUCACAGGGAUAUCCACAAGCCAGACCCAGAAAGCCUUUGCUACCAUUGGUGAAGAUGCCAAGUCCACAGCCCAACAGCCAGAAGACUCUUGGUCUAGCCCUUGGAUUCAGACUGAAUUGAUAUCGCCAGGUUUCCUGUAUUUUCAGCUUGCAGGCAGCUGAUUGUGGGACUUCUCAGCCUCCUUAAUCAU